CCAGAAAAAGUUACAGUAGCCCCAUCUUUAGCUGCAGCAAAUGUGUUCAAUUACAUAUUUUAAAAGCUUUGACUUUGACAAACAUAUGUGUGAAGCCAUUUGUAACUAUCUGCAUGUUUUAGACAUUCCUCCACCGCCAAGUUUCGUGGCUACUUGAAAAGUGUUUUCUGCUUCUUGAAUUAAAUGUACUUGCCGCAUGCUUCUUGAUCUUUUAUUUUUGACUUGUCCUGGAAGAGACUUGUAGCCUGGCUGCCUCAAUUAUACAUAUUCUGAAGCUUCUGUUCUGCUGCCAAUAGGUGGAAUUAAGCUUCCAUUCUUUUGGUGUAGCCGUGACCAUGAAACCAAAAGCGAGGACUUCAAUUUUUCCUUUCUUGCUGAUCUUGAGAUUGCUUUUCCAUCUUGCACACAUCAUUUUGAAGGAAAACAUUGCAGGCGGUAUUCGAACCAUUGCUUUACAGAGGUAACCGGAAUCGGAUGACUCCCAUCUCUCUUCCAUUUUGUGGCUGCAGUCUAGUGAUUCGAGGGUGAGCCAACUGAACACGCCGCAAACUUUGUGAUCAAGGGCAGCGUAACAUCUUGGCUUUGGUGCUGCACAAAGAUUCCUCCAGAGCAGUUUCUUCACUUUGUGAGCCCAAGAACUUUGCAGACUCGUAGUUGGUGUGAACUGGCAGCCCCAAGCCUUCAUUUGACACUCGUUUUUGCCACCCAUAUGCAGGACGCACACGCGAUACAGGCAUCAAAAACAAGUGCAAUGUACCCUCUAUCUUGGACCUUGCUUCCGCCACCCAUACGCAGGAUGCUCCGCAGUAUAGGCAUCGAAAGAAGGCCGAAAACACAGGUGAGCCCCUUCCCUUGCUGAAAUCCCUUCUCCUCCUUCAUCUCUGUGAACGUGCUUCUUUUUUUUUGUCUCCUUGGACCUGCACUGUUUGUUAACACAAAGGCAAAUGGAGGUGUAUUUGGUUGUUUUGUUUUCUGAUUUUGGUGGGCAACAAUGAGGGAUUUGAGGCUUUGAGAGUUGUGAUGGUGUUGUUGGCAUAUUUGGCCGGAGUGGUUUGUUUGGGGAAUGGAGGGACUGUUUCUGGUGCUUAGAAGUAUAGGCAAGUCUGCACUCACGAAGACAUCAGCGAUAAUAGAGGAAAAAUAGCAACGAAUACCAUGAAGAAAGGACCAGCAUGAUACCUGAAUAUGAAGCUCUCCUGUUGUCAAUUUGUUGUCUCCAGCUUUGUGUUCUUUAUAUAGGAGGCAGCGAAGGCUCUAGAGGCUGGAUAAACGCUCGUUUGAAAUUUGAAAUUCCCGAGGCUCACGUGGAUAAGCUGCUGAACAGAGAUUUCCUCCUUAACUCCGAUAUUGAACUUAGACACCCCCUGCCACUUUUUUCUUAUCUCACUUUGAGAUAUUUGAAUCACAAUUUGAAUGCUUUCUUUUGUUUUCUGUUUUUGUAGCUUUUUCCUGUUGAAACUUGGUCAAUCAUUCAACUUGUUUGAAUUUGAGAAAGAGAUAAUUUGUAACUAAAACAUUUGUUU